rfam:Ipomoea nil DNA, scaffold: scaffold2781, cultivar: Tokyo-kokei standard.
GGAUCUGUGGCGCAAUGGUAGCACGUCUGACUCCAAAUUAGAAGGUUGCGUGUUCAAUUCACGUUGGGUUCA